AUCGACAUCGUUCAAUAGGUAGGACAUGUGACUUUCAAUCAUGAAACUGGGGUUCAAAUCCCCAUGUCGAUA